rnacentral:rRNA from 1 species
UACGAAGGGGGCUAGCGUUGUUCGGAAUCACUGGGCGUAAAGCGCACGUAGGCGGAUCUUUAAGUCAGGGGUGAAAUCCCGAGGCUCAACCUCGGAACUGCCUUUGAUACUGGCAUUCUCGAGUCCGGAAGAGGUGAGUGGAAUUCCGAGUGUAGAGGUGAAAUUCGUAGAUAUUCGGAGGAACACCAGUGGCGAAGGCGGCUCACUGGUCCGGUACUGACGCUGAGGUGCGAAAGCGUGGGGAGCAAACAGG